rnacentral:tRNA from 1 species
GGGUUCGUAGCUCAGCUGGUUAGAGCGCCACAUUGACAUUGUGGAGGUCAGCCGUUCGAUCCGGCUCGAACCCACCA